UUUACUUGGACAUAAAGCCAUAUGCCCCUCCAAAUUAUCACUAUCCAUCAUCUCUCCGGAUCUGAGUACACAGCAGUGCAACAUUAGAUCCUCCCACCCUGGGCAUGAUGUCAGGAGGAAAUGGCCGCCAAGUCCUAUAAGAGCUGCAGACACAGUGAAUCUGACAAAUCAUUAUCAAUUCACUGCUUCCCAAUCGAACAGCAACUAAAAAAGGCAACGGACUGUGAAAAUCUGAAUGGACAACAGGCCAUAUUUGAAGAGUAUGCUGAACUUUGAGAGCCUGGUCUGACCCGUUGUCUGCUGUCUCAUGUCACAGGAGUCAAAAGCUCUCGUCACUGGCUCCACCGAAGAGGUUGAAAUCUUUUGAAAACAACAUGGCUAGCAAAUAUGAAGGUGCACAAAUGUACACCAGCAACACCCCAUGCUCACUUCACACAGUGACGACCACAUGAGGGCCGCCCCUCAGCCAGGUGUGUGUCUCAGCAGGUGGCAUCUCCGCGAAUCAGCGAGCCGGUAGCAUGACAUCACGUCUCCUGCAGCGGCCCCCUCACCGCUUCCUGUUUCUCCUGUCCUUCAUCUCCCAGCAGGCUUUUCUGCUUCAUUUGCGUUAUGUUUUUUUUCUUUUUUUUUUUGCCCACAAGAAAUCACCAGAAUACAAAAGGACACUCCUUUUUUUUUGUCUCCCUCUAACCCACUCAAGCUGCUCCGGCGUUGCCUUGGAGGAUUCUUCUUUGUAGGGUAAACGGACAACUCAUCCAUCUUUUUUUUUUUUUCGACAUGUUGAACUGUCAAUCACGCAGCAUGGAGGGUCAGAGUCUUCCGCUCGCCUCACAAAUCACAAGUUUAAAGGCGCAGUAUAUAGUUUUUACUCAGAAUUUGAAUAAAUACAACAUGAAUAAAGUAGUUAUAAGUAUGUUUUUCAUAACUGAAUAAAACAAGCUGUUGUUAGAGGAAAACAAGAUCCCCAGAACACUCUUUGCAGCUAAUGUGGCAGGGUCCGCCACAUAUAAACCAAGAUAAACAGUAUGAAAUUGUCCAUCAAGGUCAGCUUGUUUAUUGAGUUUUUUUCAGUCAUGAAAACAAUGACUUUGUUUAUUUAGGCUGACUAUGCAUAAAGAAAUGUCUCCCUCCUCUGAUUAAAACGUCUUCCCCUAAAACUACGUAGUGCAGCUUUAAGGCUCUAAUCGUCAAGUGUUGUCUACAUAGGGAGGAAAAGGACAGAGUUUUGUGGUCUAAUCCUGCGACACAAUGCUCCUUCCCCUCCCUCCCUUCUCCCUUGUCUCUGUUUCUUUAUAUAUAUUGUAUUUUUACGAUGCGUCCCUCGGCGCUGACGGAGGCAGGUGGCCGACGUGUUUACCUUGACUCUCAGAGGCACUGUCACAUGAGAGCGUACUCGCGGGUUUAUCGUCGUGUUGACACUCGAGGGGAUUAUACAAAGACAGAAACGAGCAAGGUUUAUCAGCCUCAAACCCACGGGAGAACACAGCACACAUAAUGACACACGCGCACACACACACUGCGAAAAACUCCAAUCCUCCAAAGAAGGAAAAUACACACACACACUCAGAUUUGGCGACUUGAGCUCCUUUCCCACUAUCUCCCCUCUCUCGCUUCAAUUCGCCACGCUCAUAUCAGCGGGAAUUAGCCCUCCACGCGUUGUCUCUCAGGCUGUAAGGUAAACAAAAACGCUUUUCACUUCAAAGACAAAGUUUCUCAAUUUCCUAAUUGAUAAUCCCGCUCUCGACACCGAGCUUUGCCAGGCAGGCCUUUUUGUUCUUCUGACAACGGGGCUGCGUUCGCUCCCGCGCUGCUCUUCUGCGGCCCUCCUGCCACUCUGCAUCGCGGGGAGAGCAGGGGAGCCUAUUUUGGUCGAGACCCCGGUGAGUUCCCGCCAUAGUUAUGAGGGAUAAUUGUUAAAGACACAUCCUCAUUUGUGUUAAACGUGCUUUCCAGGACUGAAGUCUUAACUCCAGUUUCUCUCCGUUGCACUCUUCACCUUGACCCUCACCUAACAUAAAUUCCGACUUUAAUCCCAAACCUGAAACCCUAAACUAGCCGAAAUAUCCUCUCUGUGGAGGAUUUUCUUCAGCUUUCCAUCCCCGCCAGGAAAUGUGGUGCUCUUAAACAGCAGAAAUACAAGAGCAUACACACACACACACAAGCACACACACAGAGCCACAGCCGGUUCCCCCCUUUGCGAUAACUCCUACAAAACGCCUGUCAUCCUUACUCAGUCAUACACAAGCAGGGAGUCAGCGCAAGCCGAUGGAUCAAUUUAGUACAGAAAAGCUGUGGCAUUCUUCAAAUGUAAUGGGCUUUGAUGUAGACGCCGAGCUGCAUUACAGAACCCCGCUGAAGCCAGUGAAACCUCUUUUCAUCUGCCUGCUUCCUAUGCAGAGGAGGACGUUGGCAGGAAACGUGCCUCACUCCUGCUACGCUCCCUUUUCUAUUUCUUCUUCUUCUUCUUCUUCUUCUUCUUCUUCUCCUUCCUUCCCGUGCAUAGAGGAGGCACGGCUCGUGGCACGCACACACACCUACACUUGCACAUCCUCUUCUGCUUUUUUUGCUAAUUUAUGUUCCUUUUGAGCUGCAGCAUGGGAAAUGACUGCUUCCUCCCAGCUCGCUUCGGAUGAUUGCCUCAGUCCCAGCCCACCGGAGACUCACUUUUGACCCCAUUCGUGACACCAACAUGCUCGUUUGUAGCCUUUAUGAGAUGAAGGAGCCACGCGCUUAUGAGACUCAUCCUUGUUUACGAAGUAUGAUUCCAUCUGUGUGACACUCUGCCAUCUUCCCACAGCUACAGCCUGUCCCCUGGUGGAACGUUGGCUCACAACAUGUGUUUGCAAUGUAUUCUCUUCCCAUUUUAGACACUCUGUGGCAGAAGCAGGGGUCCUCCAGGGGGUUCCAGAGGGUCCCCAGCAUUAAAAGGGAGGUGGGGUUAGGUAUAGCAUUAGGGUUCAAAUGCCUGCUGUGAUACGACAUCCAAAAGCAUCUUCUCCUGUCAGGCCGAAGAUAUACUUGCUUUAAACAACGUGUUCAGGCACGCUGGACCACGGGAGACAUAGAGAUGCUCACAUUUUUACAAGCCGUGCCAACAUCAAUGGCAGUAAUGUCGUAAUGUCAUUGCCCUGGAGACACUUUUUUUUUUUUUGCAGGAACUAUGACAGAAGCCUUUUUUAUGUGCUUCGACAGGUGUUUAAAUGUCAGCAUGACACGACCGUGCAAUAUGCAGUCAUGAAACUCAACAGCUGCGCGGCAAAAACAAAUGGAGAGUUUCAAAGAUGGGUGUUGUCUGAGUUGACAGGACUGGGAAGGUAGAAGUUAACAGGAGAAAUGGGUGCGCCAUUUUAUGCCACUCGCAUGCGUUCAUGGUCCUGGAGACACCUGUUGUAUUUGAGUCCAAUUUUCAUCAAUGUGCUGGCACUCAGUUUAUUUCCUAAGCGAUUAUUGGGCCUGUCAAAAUGCAAAGAUCUAUGCCGUAGUCUUCAAAAUGUUCUGGAUGUGUGGGUGGGGCCGGGGGGACAGGACCACAGCAUUUCUAAAAUCCUGGCUACAUCCCGUUUCAUGACCGACUGUAAGUACUUCUUGUUGUUCUUUGGUCUCUUCCCUUCCCUUCUUAUUUACUUAUUCACCAGGGAAAGUGCACUAAUCAGUCCCAUGCUGCGCUAAUAUGCUAAGUAUCAUGCUCUUUGACUGAUAUAGUUUUCCCUGCACCCUUGUUUGUGUGCAUUGGUAUUAGUUUGAAUAUCGCACAUUGUUAUAAGUGACUUACGAUAUAGUGUAAAAGGGGCUGAACACACUGUGUCAUGCCUUCAGCCCACGUUCAGUCUGCAGAAGAGGCAUUGUCACUAAUCAAGGGCUGCAGGGCCGGUGCUCAGCUGUGGUGCCUGUUUAAAGCCACCAGGUGACGCUGCCUCCUCCUCAGCUUGAUGCAGUAUGAGAGUAUUGUGGCGAUCUGUGUGUAUAUUGUAUUGGAAGACAGGUUUUACAGGUUUUACUGCACUAUUUAUACUGUGCAUACUUUGCACUUUGCUGUUUUCUGCACUUGUGGUUAGAUGCUAACUACAUUUCAUUGUCUCUGUACUUCCGCUGUGCACAAUAUCAAUAAAGUUAAAUCUAAUCAUUUGA